GACGAACGCUGGCGGCGUGCCUAAUACAUGCAAGUUGAGCGCUGAAGGUUGGUACUUGUACCGACUGGAUGAGCAGCGAACGGGUGAGUAACGCGUGGGGAAUCUGCCUUUGAGCGGGGGACAACAUUUGGAAACGAAUGCUAAUACCGCAUAAGAACUUUAAACACAAGUUUUAAGUUUGAAAGAUGCAAUUGCAUCACUCAAAGAUGAUCCCGCGUUGUAUUAGCUAGUUGGUGAGGUAAAGGCUCACCAAGGCGAUGAUACAUAGCCGACCUGAGAGGGUGAUCGGCCACAUUGGGACUGAGACACGGCCCAAACUCCUACGGGAGGCAGCAGUAGGGAAUCUUCGGCAAUGGACGAAAGUCUGACCGAGCAACGCCGCGUGAGUGAAGAAGGUUUUCGGAUCGUAAAACUCUGUUGGUAGAGAAGAACGUUGGUGAGAGUGGAAAGCUCAUCAAGUGACGGUAACUACCCAGAAAGGGACGGCUAACUACGUG
rnacentral:rRNA from 1 species